AGCAGACAUUUUCAAAGGCUUCUCUCCCCUUCUUCUCCUCUCUCUGUCCCCCAUGCGGAAAGGGGAAAAUAGAAGUAGAAUCCAGAUCGGGGCGCGUGGCUGAUUUGGUCCUCCUCCCUCACCAUCCUCCCCCAGACGGCAGAGAAACUUUGAUGUCUGGGUGCGUGGCAUUCAGGGACAGAGGAGCCUGGGCAUCCCAGCAAAUGCAGCCGCAUGUUCCGCCUCUGGACGGCCUCUCUGAACUCCUUUGUGAGGGGAGAUGAAGCCCACAGAGCUGGAAAGAGCAGCGUUUUGAAAUGAGGAAGUGUGGAUCGGCAUUCCUUGAGCUCAGUGCUAGCCACCUUGGCGAUGGGGUGGGCCAACCGGGAGCUCAGAUUUAUAAAACUUUUGAGCUUUGCGGGCCCUAGGGGGCCACUAUGGCCUACCUGCUGAUUUUCAGAUGGGGAAAUGGGGGCUCAGAGAGGGGACAAGAUUUGCUGAAUGGCACCUAGCAAAUCGGUAACAGGUCCAGGAGUAGAUUCCAUGCCUUCAGCCUCUGGUGAGAUGUCUUUCCUCUGCACCAGGAAGUGGAACUUCAAACAGCACCAGGGGUUGAAACUUUGGUUUCAAAUCCUCUCUGCCUCAUCCUCACCCACUGCCCAGCAACUCAAGGCUGGGUCUUUCACCCCGCUCAGGCUCAGAAGGGCUGUGGCCCAGCCACAGAGCCAGGGGGCCUCCUUAGUAGUACUGGCCUUCACAUUCUUGGUGCUAAAGUUCUCCAGUUACUUUUUUAUUAAACCAACAUGUACAGAAAAACUCAGUUUUCAGCUGGGCACAGUGGCUCACACCUGUAAUCGCAGCACUUUGGGAGGCCGAGGCAGGCAGAUCACUUGAGGUCAGGAGUUCGAGACCAGCCUGGCCAACAUGGUGAAACCCUGUCUCUACAAAAAUACAAAAAUUAGUUGGGUGUGGAGGCGCAUGCCUGUAGUCCCUGCUAGUCGAGAGGGUGAGGUAGGAGAAUCGCUUGAACCUGGGAGGCCGAAGUAGCAGUAAGCCAAGAUCGCGCCACUGCGCUCCAGCCUGGAUGACAGAGCUGGAGGGGAACCCUGACACCACUCCUGGGUCCAGAUGGCUGUGGCUGGAAUGCGGUCACAGCCAGGAACAGCGUGGUACAGAUACCAGUGGGGCUCUGGUCUUUUCCCAGAGGCUGGCACCUUUCAUGCCGAGUUGGGCCUCAGGUCUCGGGGCUCUAGGCCCUGCUGUGCCAGUGGCCUGAUGUGUGGCCUUAUAUGCCAGUCAUACCCUGCUCCAGACCUCGGUUUCCUCAUCCACAAAAUGGGAAAGCUGGGCUAGAAAAUCUCUCAGGAAGGUAGGUCUCUGCUAGCUCCCAGCCUUUCAUGGCAGUGCAAAGGGAACCUUCCCAACAAAGUAAGAGCCAAAGGCUAAGAUGGCAGCCUGUGGUUUGUAGAACCUUCUAGAAGACCACGAGACUUGGUAAGCUGAGCUUCUAAGUGGUCCAGGAUGCAGGGCUGGUGUCACAGGUGUGUGACCAGUAGAGCUACACAGGGCUUUGUGGCCAGAAGGGCCCCACACUUGGGAAAUAAGGCUCUGCAGUCACUGUCUUCAAAUUCUUAAUAAUUUUAUCUUUGUCACUGUGUUUCGUAAGUGAAGUCCAAUGGGACAGUGUACUGUGAACUGGGGGCGUGGAGCCGCCCAUCUCCCUGCAUCCCGGAUCUGCUUCUCAGUUGCUUGCUCCUCUGCCCCCACAGCUCCAGCUCCACUCAGCCUCUACCUCCCUGCCUCCCACCCAGCAACCACUGCCAACCUGCCCCCAACCUGGGCACAGGCACACCCUGUGGGGGAGGGGGGCAAGCACACCCCACAGCAUCUCAGAGUGGGGCAUGGUGGCAGCAGUCCCCAUCCUGCGCUGGCAGCCCAGGGCACAUUCAGUGUGGGACUCUGCGGGGGUGAGCUUCUAGCCCCCCCAGAUCCAGUACCUCAUGUGUCCUGGUGCAAAAUUUGUAGUGCCCCUGGGGGCUGUCCAUCUGCUGUGGGUUGGGGCAGGGGCCUGUGGGAGGUUGCCUGGCUCAGCCUCCUGCCCUAGGCCUGGGGCACAACAUGUGGGCCCAGCAGCUCAUAGGAAAGGGAGCCAGAAGAUGGGUUCAAGUGUUUGUGUGUUCCCCAAGUCACCAGGGUGCCUGUGGGGGUCUGCACUCCCCCGGGAGAACCCUCAUGUCUAGGGAGCACCCCAUGGGGUCAUCUCCAUGCCUGAGAGGACCCUCUCUUCCUUCUUGCAACCUUCCGGAGUCCAGCUUGUUCUUCCGGCCAGGUCAAGGUAUCCGCCUGAGAGAAUCAUGAAAUACAGUGUGCAGCUUUGGUAAUUCCACAUGCAUGUUCAAUAUUCGGAUAUCUCCAUUCAAAACUGGCAUUGCACAAUAUAAAGAGGAAUGGUAAAAAGUCAUGCUAAUAAUUUAAAAUUUUGACUUUACUUAGAAUGGCAUUAACUGGCAAAUUUAAAACACCAUGACAAGUUGAAAGUGAGACCGGAGAAGAAAGCAAAAAGCAUGUUUUCUUACUGUUUGAACAAGGGGCCCCAUAUUUUCAUUUUGUAGUGGGUCCCAAAAAUUAUGUAGCCAGUCCUGCCUGGUAAGCCACCUACCCUCUUGGGCAUUUAGUUCCCUAUCAGUAAACUAGAUCAUUAACACUGCGCCUGCCCCUCCUGCUCACGGGCACGUUAGGAACAUGCGCUUGGAUAAAAUCGAAGACGGAGAUUUAGAAACCAGUGUGUGGUGCCAGCUCUCAGCCUUGGAACCACAAGCGUAUUUUUCUUAAAAAGGGAUCUGGACUGGCAUCCAAAGAGGUUUCAUUCCCCUCAUGUAGGUUUAACCACCAUGGGCAAGGCACUCUCUCUCCCAGGUAUUCCUCUCCCUAGGUGCUCUGCUCUAGAAAUGAAGUCUAAAAGCAGCUCCAUCAAUACAGAGCAGAGUUAGAAGCACCCGGAGAGAUUUAAUCUGGAAUCCCAGCAAGUUGUGAAAUGGAAAGACUAGUCGGCCAGAGAGCUGAGGUCUUACGGUGUGCAAAGACCAGUCCUCAAUAUCUGCACCCAUCCAUUUGAGUUUCAGGUGGAGCCUAGGAUUUGGGAGCUCAAUACAAAGGUGCCAGGACGAAGGAGGGUGGGUGCCAACUGGGUUUGGAUUGAGAGACAUCCUCCUCUUGGGAAAGGUAAAAAUCCUGAUUCCACUUAGGUUUCCAGGAAGAAGGCAUCCCCAUUUCAGAACUGUUUUCUAAGCCACCCUCAUGGAGGUUUCUUCUGCAGCCUUCAGUCUGCUUUGUCUGAUGUUUGAGGAUGCAGCUGCCCAAAAAUGGGUCUAAAGUGGCAUCCCAUCACAUUCUGUAAAAAGUAAUACUGCUUUAAGGUAACACUUAUGGAAUGAAUGCGUGAAUGAAUGAGUCAGUUUGGAUCAGUUGCCUCAAAUAGAGUCUAAAUAUAAGAUUUCAUACUCAAUAGUGUCAUUUCAGGAUCAGGAAAAAUUAGGUGACUCCCAUUUGGUUUCUACAGCUUUUCCCCAAUAUCAUGUUAAAAGUUCUGGCUUUUAUCUUAUUUCACUUUUUUCAUUUGGAGUCAUGUCUUCUGGCUCCAGCUCAGCUUCCUAGAGAUAAUUCAUUAGGCCCGAGAGCUGCUCCAGAGUGGGAUUAGAACCCGUGUAGUACAUAGUCACAUUAAACUGAGAUUGGCUAAUUAAUCGCUCUUCUCCGUGUAACUGUGCGAUCGCGCUCCUUCCCCGAGGAAUUGCAAUUUCAUGGUUCCUAAUGAUGGUGCGAUUACAUUAUGUGGAUCACUUAGGCUGUGGGUAUCAGGAGCAAUACUUGGAGCCUCUCUCGGUGGGGAUGGGAGAAGUCACUCCUAAAACCGGGGAGAUGGAGGAAAGCAGUUAGAAUGUCUGUUACUAAUUUUUGUUAAUGGGCUGCUGUUUCCUACGUCUCAUUCAGGCAUUAGUUUCAAGUUCCAUUUUCCCCCAGCACUGCGUGGCACCUUCCCCAGAACCCUCACAUUUUUUUUUUCUAAUAUUCACAGGGUUAUUGUUUGUUAAAAAAAUCUAUUUAUUUGCUGUAUUCCACCAAGUAAUUUAUUUUCAUGAGAUUUCUUGGAAAUGUGGCUCUACGUAUCGUUAGUACAAGUAAUACAUUUUGAUUGUUGUUUCCUGAAAUAACUUGUAUUAUUUGAUGAGUUAAAUAAAAUGCCUAAUUCCAAA
rnacentral:sRNA from 1 species